GGGGGGAUCUAUGUUAGGCAUCAGAAAGGUGGUUUAAGCAAGAAGGAAAGAGCUUCUGCAGACAGUGUUGCAAUUAGACACCUGACUGUUACUGCCAAAGGGACCAUCAGAGCACCUCUCCCUACCAUCUAUACCAGAAGAGUACGGACAAGGGCCCAAAAUGUUUUAAAGGACGUUGCACGCCCAGACCAUGGACUGUUUAAACCACUGUGGUCAAGCAGAAGUCUCUGUUCUCACUCGAGGCAGGUCAUUGAGAGGGGGCGAGUGUCACUGUGUAAGCCCCCUACUGCAGGCGAGAAAGCCAUGUUGAUUUGAAUAUUGAUUGAUAAAUACAAUAAAGGCCAUGUAACAAA